rnacentral:rRNA from 1 species
GACGAACGCUGGCGGCGUGCUUAACACAUGCAAGUCGAACGGAAAGGCCCUGCUUUUGUGGGGUGCUCGAGUGGCGAACGGGUGAGUAACACGUGAGUAACCUGCCCUUGACUUUGGGAUAACUUCAGGAAACUGGGGCUAAUACCGGAUAGGAGCUCAUGCUGCAUGGUGGGGGUUGGAAAGUUUCGGCGGUUGGGGAUGGACUCGCGGCUUAUCAGCUUGUUGGUGGGGUAGUGGCUUACCAAGGCUUUGACGGGUAGCCGGCCUGAGAGGGUGACCGGCCACAUUGGGACUGAGAUGCGGCCCAGACUCCUACGGGAGGCAGCAGUGGGGAAUAUUGCACAAUGGGCGGAAGCCUGAUGCAGCAACGCCGCGUGCGGGAUGACGGCCUUCGGGUUGUAAACCGCUUUCGCCUGUGACGAAGCGUGAGUGACGGUAAUGGGUAAAGAAGCACCGGCUAACUACGUG